AGCCCUUCAAAGGCACCUGAAACAGCAAACAUUCAGCACUCCUGUUUUCUUCCACAGAAAUAACAUCUUCAAUGUAAGCAGGUAACAAAAUAGCACCUAAACACGUAAACAAGAAAAGAAACAUUAUAAACCUUUGGCGGUAUAAGAGAUUUAUGAUAUUUAUUUAGGUCACGCUUAGUGUACUUUUAAAUGUAAGAAUUAGGCGCAGUUACACAGUGUAUCAUCUCACUGUGAAUGUUUAGAAAAAAAUGAACAUACGGUCCUUGCAUUUUUUUUUUUUAAUAUACCACAGAACUCUUUUAACUGGAAAUAUCUUGCCCAGAUGGCACACGCCUUUACCAGCAGCUCCUGUUAAGGCAGUACGAGGUGCCCCUCACGCAGGGGAGGAGGAUCCACCUUCUCCCGGUUCAGCGGAGCCCCCGCCCGGGCAGCCCGGGGCGGCGCUGGGCACACGGCCGUGAGGGCUCACCCGGCUCCGGGACCGCUCGGGGCCGGGGCUCCUUCCUUCGCACAGUGAACUUCACGCGGCCUCGGAGCCAGCGGAGCCCCGGCGGGACCCGCCCCGCACAGCCCCAAGAGCGGCGGAGAGAGGGCUGGCCACGGGCACGCUCCGCGGGGCUGCGGGGAGCAGGAAGCAAACGGAAGCAUUACUUGACUCUGUCACCAACAUGUAAUUUUAUGCACCAGAAGACAAGAAAGAAGCAGCGGUUGUUAACAAAUAAGCCAUGCCUGUUGCAGCUGAUGUAA
rnacentral:lncRNA from 12 species